UGGGAAUUUUCUGAGUAUUUGAGAUUACACCGUAAAUAUGAGUUAUUGAGUAAUAAGUCGGUAUAUUAAAUAAUCAAAUAUUAUUUUUCUUAUGGAAUAAUAGUGGGAUAGUGUUAGAAAUAGUAUUUUAAUUUAUUUUGAGUUAAUGAGUUUAUUGGGCCUAUUUUUGAUUUAGUAAAGAUUGGUGAAGGGAGUGUUAUUUACUAAGCCCAAUAUUAUGAUAAAAUUAGGUUUUUAGUGUUAGUAAGAGGAAGAGGAGUGGAGAGAAAACCAGAAAAAUAGAAGGCAUUUGGAGGAGGCUAGGUCUUGAAGAGGAGAGCAAGCUUAGAGAAAUCUCAAUCCAAGUGCUAGGGUUGUAGAGUUUUCUUCAAUCCAAACAAGGUGAUUCGCAUUGAGAGGAGGUUAGCCGAGUUGGUCUUGAGUCGUUGUCGCUCUGAUACGUAGCACUCGGGGGGACGAACGAGUUGAUUUACUUGCUUUUGGAUUUUUAUGUUUUGGCAUACACUUGAGUUAUUUGUUUGAGAUUGUCGCUUUAAAGUGCUUUAAUUGUUGAAUUAAGAUGCUAUGAAAUCUUGAACUAAUUGUUGAGUUUCCGUUGCACUUCUAUGGAAGUUAAUUCAUGUUAAA